rnacentral:siRNA from 1 species
UCCACAGUGUGAUGGCCUGACGGA